CCUGGCGGCUGAGAGGUUAAAGCGUCUGCCUGCAAUGCGGGAGACCCGGGUUUGAUCCCUGGAUCAGGA
rnacentral:tRNA from 1 species